rnacentral:rRNA from 1 species
UACCUACGGGAGGCAGCAGUAGGGAAUCUUCCACAAUGGACGAAAGUCUGAUGGAGCAACGCCGCGUGAGUGAAGAAGGGUUUCGGCUCGUAAAGCUCUGUUGGUGGUGAAGAAAGAUAGAGGUAGUUACUGGCCUUUAUUUGACGGUAAUUACUUAGAAAGUCACGGCUAACUACGUGCCAGCAGCCGCGGUAAUACUUAGGUGGCAAGCGUUUUUCGGAGUUAUUGGGCGUAAAGCGGGUGCAGGCGG